AUUUGAGGGAGGUUCUACGUAUUCCGCCGGCAGAAUGGUUCCGCCUCCUUCAUAAACCGUUGGAUUUGGGCUUUUAAAUCUCAGCAUUUGAUCGAAAUCAACUGCUGAAUGGGUCUCAGGUUUAUGAAUUUAAUUUUUUCCCAAAAUAUAUUACUAAGCUUUUAGGGGAAGCUUCCAAAAGAUCUGUCGCCCUCCCUGCUACUCUCUCUUGUCCGUCCUGAUCUCUCUCCCGAUCUCUCUCUCUCAAAUCCGCUCUCUGGCUCUCCUUUUCUCUCUCAGUGGCUUCGAAUCUCUCUCGUUUCUGUUUUCUCUGAGAUCGUUACGUGGAUGAGAAGUUUUCGCAGUCGUGUGAUGAGAAUAUUCCGGCGUAAUCAAGGCGGUGUUUUGGGAAGUUUUUUUCAGUUUUUUGGCGAAAUGGCAAUGUUGAUGACCACCUAAUGAUCGUAAAGUGGAGAGGUUCCUGGGAGCGCGACAACAAAAUCCCGGUGAAGUUUUUGUUGCGGUUGUUCGGCAAAAUCGCAAUCUUGAGGAGCAAUAACGCUCUGCUUCUAGCUCCUCCAAUGGCGUCCCAGCCGUGACUCGCUGUUUGCUGAUUUUCGGGAGCUGCCCUCGAUUCUUUGGUCAGUUUUUUUUUUUUUCCUCUUUCCUUUUUUCAGGUAAGUGAUGCCUUUUUUAUUGAAUUUGCCUUGAAUUUUAUCUGCAGUAACUCAUGCAGGGACUAUCUUAAAGGUUUGAGACUCACUUUUUUUUAUUAAAUAACUGUAACCACACCAAUUCUAUGUGUUCAGCAGCAUGAAGAGCAGUGGACGUUUUGAUUAUCGUUUCGCCUUUAUUUAUUGGUUUUUCAUUGUUUUGGUGUGGCUUUGUGGGCUCUUGUAAGCGCUGAUGGUUUGUUGGUUUGAUUUUUCAGAAACUAAUAAAAGAACACGGGUUACCGAUUUUCUUGAAUAAAUAGUGCCACUUAAGUCUUAAUUAAUGCUUCGCUCACAAAUAUCUUCAUGGAUUGGUUAUAUCUGCAUUUUCGGGUCAAUGGGACGCUGACAUAAUCUUAAUGGAGGCAUAAUAUGCAGGUAAAAUGGCAUUGGAAUCACGAUUAUGUUAUCACCUGGUUUAUAUAGGACACGAGUUUAUAUUAUUGUCACGCUGGUUAUUGACAAUAAGCCAUUCAAGGGAUGGCAUCGAACAGGUUGUGCUACCAUAUUGUGAAAACAACCAAAAACCAUGCGGUCCUCAAUUACUGCCUUUCUGCAAAUUUGCUUGUGGAGGUUCAACUCCAAUGUUUUAUCAGGUCAGCAAGUACGUCUGUCUCCACCACAUGAAACGGUGAGCUCUAAGUUCUUCCCUGUCCUACAAGUUCGAAGCUCGGUAGCAAAUUAUUGAACUUAUGGGAGAAGACUGAACCAUGAUCGUCAGAUACCAGAAUACAACACUCGAAGUCACAGGCGUAAUUUCUUUCCCUGUACCCUGCUGUUUAAGCAAUUCUCUAUACUUUUGAAAGUACUACCCUCUCAGUCAAGACAUGAUUCGCCAUAAUUUAGCAACGAAUAUUCGACACUGAUGAUGUUUCGCAGAAGAUGGAGCUGACAUCCAAGUGGCCCUUUAGACCUGCUCUGAAUAUGGACUGUCAAAAACUGAAACCGAACAGCAGUGGGCCUCAACGACAACUGCCGCCGCCCGAUCGGGAUUAUCCAUGAUGGCAAAGGUCUCCGGUGACCCCAAUUAGGGAGAUGUGGCUGCCGAUGUGACUUCCACCACCUAUCUCACUCAUUCUUUUCUCGAUUUUACUUUUUCUUUUUUCAAAUUCGAGCAAUGAGGGCCUCAUUGGAGCCCAUCGCCACCCUACAAGGUCGCCGGCGAUCUCAACUAUCUCGAUUGGAGAGUGUGAUCAUAGAUUCUCAUUUAAAUUAAAGAAAAAGUUUA